CCGUCCAAUCCGCCAUUGCCAACUUGACGUGAGGAAACAUCAGUACAUUGCUUACAUACAAGCUGUGACAUCACAAGAGGCUUUAAAUAUGGAGUUUCUUGAAAUACCGACCACAUGAUAGCCAACAGAAGCCAUCAAAUCACUGUUCAAAUAGUGAUUAGUUAUUAGCAAUUUAACACCCUACAGCUAAUAAGCCUAUUGCCUCUCUAUAUAUAUGAAGGGUUCCAAUAAUAAUAACAACGGAAAUUCCAGACCAAAUAUUAGAAGAUUAAAGUUCUAUCAUCUCCUCUUCUACAUAUAUAUUAGAAGCACUGAGAGGUUUGCUACGCAGGAGAUAUGACACCGUCGCUCCUGAAUCAAUCCUUUGGAAGGAGGCAUGGCUGCGCCGGUAUCAUACCUCCAGCGAAGGAAACAUUGCAAGUGUAUCGACGUUUAUGUUUAAAUACAGACAGUGGGGGGACAAGAAGUUUUAUGAGCAUAGCAGAAGUAGGGAUGAAUACUUGACGUUCAAACUCCGUUUAAGACGGGUUUGAGCAUCAGCUGAACGGGUUUGGUUUGGAUCCGAUUUUAUCGAGUAAUAUUGGAACCAAUGGAAUAGCAUGUAAGCAAGUUUUAGAUAAGCAACCAAAUACUGAAAAAUAUUGAUUGAUCAACA